GGGCGAUUGGCGCAGCGGUAGCGCAGCUGCUUUACACGCAGAAGGUCAGCGGUUCAAAUCCGUUAUCGCCCACCA
rnacentral:tRNA from 1 species